UGCAAGUCGAGCGGACCGACGGGAGCUUGCUCCCUUAUGUCAGCGGCGGACGGGUGAGUAACACGUGGGUAACCUGCCUGUAAGACUGGGAUAACUCCGGGAAACCGGGGCUAAUACCGGAUGCUUGAUUGAACCGCAUGGUUCAAUCAUAAAAGGCGGCUUCGGCUGCCGUUUACAGAUGGACCCGCGGCGCAUUAGCUAGUUGGUGAGGUAACGGCUCACCAAGGCGACGAUGCGUAGCCGACCUGAGAGGGUGAUCGGCCACACUGGGACUGAGACACGGCCCACACUCCUACGGGAGGCAGCAGUAGGGAAUCUUCCGCAAUGGACGAAAGUCUGACGGAGCAACGCCGCGUGAGUGAUGAAGGUUUUCGGAUCGUAAAGCUCUGUUGUUAGGGAAGAACAAGUACCGUUCGAAUAGGGCGGUACCUUGACGGUACCUAACCAGAAAGCCACGGCUAACUACGUGCCAGCAGCCGCGGUAAUACGUAGGUGGCAAGCGUUGUCCGGAAUUAUUGGGCGUAAAGCGCGCGCAGGCGGUUUCUUAAGUCUGAUGUGAAAGCCCCCGGCUCAACCGGGGAGGGUCAUUGGAAACUGGGGAACUUGAGUGCAGAAGAGGAGAGU
rnacentral:rRNA from 1 species